UUAAGUUCAGCGGGUAGUCCUACCAAUCUGAGGCCGAUGAAUUGAAAAAUAAAUCCCUUCCUCUGUGGUUAAAGCAGAGGCAUGGGCGGGGUUCAGAAGCACGCCAAACAGCAGAAAAGUCGUUGCGUCCAGCUCCCGCCCUCUCUUCGCCUCCGAAGUCCUGACAUUAUCAAAACCCGGCAGGGAAGCGAGGGCAAAAA
rnacentral:misc_RNA from 1 species